rnacentral:rRNA from 1 species
UACGUAGGGCGCAAGCGUUGUCCGGAAUUAUUGGGCGUAAAGAGCUCGUAGGCGGUUUGUCGCGUCUGCUGUGAAAACUCGAGGCUCAACCUCGGGCUUGCAGUGGGUACGGGCAGACUAGAGUGCGGUAGGGGAGACUGGAAUUCCUGGUGUAGCGGUGGAAUGCGCAGAUAUCAGGAGGAACACCGAUGGCGAAGGCAGGUCUCUGGGCAGUAACUGACGCUGAGGAGCGAAAGCGUGGGGAGCGAACAGG